rnacentral:lncRNA from 1 species
AUUCUGCAGCCACCCAUAUGUCACCACCUACCUGCUUUAUCUCUUUGUCACAUUUUCAUCUCUUUCUACUUCAACUUUCCUUUGAUUCAUCCCCAAAAGCUUUCCCCUAGGCCACUUGGCAGUAUUCCCUCACUAGUCAAAAUCUGGUGGGUCUUUCUUGAGUGAGCUCUCAGAGCUGACCUCCUUUUUUAAGACAUCUAUUUGCAUGCAGGUGGCCAUCGAUGACAUCAAUGGUUUUGCAGUAUUGAGCCACAUUUUGGAUUUUACCUAGAAGAUGUGCAGAAUAUAAAUGUUUUCAUGAGAACAAAAUAUACAGCUGGAUGUUUGUCACAAUUCUAAUGUCCCUGCAAAGAUGAGAUGCAUGAAUCACACAGCAAUCUCAUCAAAAAGGAAUUUCUGGAAGGUAAGAAUAAAACACAAUGGACACUAAAACUUUUCUGCCCACGAAAGUAAGAGGCAUUUGAGAAUUGUUCACUUUAUCUUAUGAGGCAUAGGAGAAGAGAAUCCUGGAAAAAGCAAGAAGCAGGAAGAUAAGAGGCAAAGAAGAAGAGAGCCCCACCCACUGGGGCAAGCUGGGGCCCCAGAUGAUGAAACUGUGGCCCAGAAAGUUUAAGGGAUGUGUCAAAUGUCACACAGCUCACAGAUCCAGGGACAUGGCUUAAAUCCAGAUAUCUUGAUUCUAACUUCAGUUGAGGAAGAGAAAGAGUGCUGCCCCACGCUGCCUGAUUUACAACGUGAAGUGAAAUCUUUGAAAAGAAAAAUAAGACAAUGUCACUCAAGCUCUUAUCUGAGGAUUUCCUGGGUUUGAAGACAGAGCUCAAACUCAUACAAGGGGUCAUCUGAGUCUGCAGAUAGGCUUGCUUUAUGCUGCUCCGUCAGAUCUCUUCUAAAGAUUAGUGCGCAAUUCUGGACAUUACAUUUUAAUGGUAACAUGGAUUCAACUAAAGGCCGCAGCAACUUUGCUUUGUACACUCUGUCUCCUGCCAAGAGAGCCCAGGGAAGGUAAUGUCUCCUGGAUCGUAUGAAAUGUUUCUGUAACGGUCACUGUAACUCACACCUUGAUUUUUACCAGGUCGCUGGCAAGUGCGAUGGAUUGUAAUUGCUGCACAUUCAUGAGGGCUUCUCAAGGUUACCCGGGCACAGUGAAUACCAAAAGAAGAAUAAGACGGAGAGCUAUUCCUCAGUGAAGCAGAGUUUACAACCCUUGUUCAUUUUGGCCAAAGGCCAGCUGACUCUAGUUUACCUAACUUUUAGAGAGUUUCAGAAAAAAAAAUGGAAGUAAUAUCCUGCCUUUGAGUAUGGAGACAAAAUUCUAAUAUCAUAAGAGAGUUAUCAGAGGUUAAGGCAGUUAGAAGGGUUCAUUCAUUCAACAUUCAACACAAACUGUGAACACCUAACAUUUGCCAUGUACAAAGAAGGACGUUCUGCCUUGGACUAACAUCCAUUCCUGUGAGGGAAGAGAAGCAGCAGCCCCCGAGCACUGCCAGCUGCUGCUGCUGCGAUCCCAGUGUCUGAGUUUGUGACUCGCCGGGAGAUUGUCUGUUCCUGCUGCUUCCAAUAUCGUCUUGGCCUUUAUGAAGGCACAUGCACACGACUGUAGCGGCACCCCUGUCUCCGGCCCAUUGUGGACAUGACUGCUCUUCCAGUGUGGCUCCCCUGUGACAGGCACCUGCUCAGCAACCUACAGAAGCUCCCCCAGCUAUCACAGCUCAAAACUAAAUGUAGACGUGUGACUCUAUGAUACCUUCUGGCUAAAGAUUGCAUCUUUAUCAUCAGAGCAAUAUAUAUCAGGUUGAUUUAUUAACACUCUAUCUCCAAUUGGCUCUAUGCAAUGUGCAGACAAAUAAACACGUAAAUG